rnacentral:rRNA from 1 species
AGGAGUUUGAUCCUGGCUCAGAGUGAACGCUGGCGGCAGGCCUAACACAUGCAAGUCGAGCGGCAGCGGGCUGUAGCAAUACAGUGCCGGCGAGCGGCGGACGGGUGAGGAAUACAUCGGAAUCUACCUUGUCGUGGGGGAUAACGUAGGGAAACUUACGCUAAUACCGCAUACGAACUACGGUUGAAAGCGGAGGACCGCAAGGCUUCGCGCGAUUGGAUGAGCCGAUGUCGGAUUAGCUAGUUGGCGGGGUAAAGGCCCACCAAGGCGACGAUCGGUAGCUGGUCUGAGAGGAUGAUCAGCCACACUGGGACUGAGACACGGCCCAGACUCCUACGGGAGGCAGCAGUGGGGAAUUUUGGACAAUGGGGGCAACCCUGAUCCAGCCAUGCCGCGUGAGUGAAGAAGGCCUUCGGGUUGUAAAGCUCUUUUGGCCGGAAAGAAAAGAUUUCGUCUAAUAAACGGAGUUCUUGACGGUACCGGCAGAAUAAGCACCGGCUAACUACGUGCCAGCAGCCGCGGUAAUACGUAGGGUGCGAGCGUUAAUCGGAAUUACUGGGCGUAAAGAGUGCGUAGGCGGUUCUUUGUGUCCGCUGUGAAAGCCCCGGGCUUAACCUGGGAAUGGCAGUGGAAACUAGAGGACUUGAAUCCGGCAGAGGGGGGCUGGAAAUGCCACGUGUAGCCAGGGAAAUGCGUAAGAUGUGGCGGAACAACCGAUGGCGAAGGCAG